rnacentral:rRNA from 1 species
AUGGGUUGGGGGAUAUCCCGGCUGAUUGGACUGAAGGCGGCUGUCUUGCUCGCCGCAGCGUAUUUCGUUCAUGGACUGGGCAUGAAAGUGCUCUCGCUGCCCCUCAUAUACACCUGCCUGAUUGCCGUGCUUAUCUCCAUUGCUUCCCAUCCGUCGGUCGACCUCCCGUUGCUUCUCGGCAAGGCAUCCAAUGGAAGCUUUCCCCUAUGGUCAUGGGUCAUGUUCUCGCCCUUUCUCUUUUUCAUCCAUCUGUUUGUGCUGUUGCGGAGAUUUGUGAAAAAUGAGCCCUUGUACACCGAGAUAGCAGACGGAGUGUAUGUUGGAGGCUGGCCUUCUUCAGUUGAACGCCUGCCACCUGGUGAACCCGCAGUCAUCGAUUGCACGUGCGAGCUGCCAAGAAGCUCAACUAUAUCCGAGAAUUCAUAUUUGUGUGUCGCUACAUGGGAUACAAGGGCGCCUCAGCCACCACAGAUUGAGUCAGCGGUGCGGUGGGCCGUGAGAAAGCGGUCACAGAACAAACCUGUGUAUGUCCACUGUGCCUAUGGCCAUGGCAGAAGUGUCUGCGUGAUGUGUGCACUUCUAGUCGCACUGGGAUUAGCUGACGAUUGGAAAGCUGCUGAGCAAAUGAUCCGCGAGAAGCGACCUUCUAUCAGCAUGAACACUCUUCAUCGCAAAAGCUUAGAGGAAUGGUCAAAGCACUUGCUUUCUCCCUCAAAAGGAAGUGGGGAAUCCGAUGUGAGUUCUGUGAUUCUUUCGGACUACACCCGGAAAAAGCAUUGA